UGUGUGGGUGUGUGUGUAUAUAUAUAUACAUAUAUAUAUAUAUAUAUAUAUAUAUAUAUAUAUAUAUACACACACAUU